UCGUCUGUGAUGUAACGGUAGCAUACUGGUUCGGAUAACCAGCAAUGUCGGGUUCAAAUCCCACCAGACGAA
rnacentral:tRNA from 1 species